AACGAACGCUGGCGGCAGGCCUAACACAUGCAAGUCGAACGCUGUAGCAAUACAGAGUGGCAGACGGGUGAGUAACGCGUGGGAACCUUCCCAAUGGUACGGAAUAGCUCAGGGAAACUUGAGGUAAUACCGUAUAAGCCCCUAGGGGGAAAGAUUUAUCGCCAUUGGAUGGGCCCGCGUCGGAUUAGCUAGUUGGCAGGGUAAUGGCCUACCAAGGCAACGAUCCGUAGCUGGUUUGAGAGAAUGACCAGCCACACUGGGACUGAGACACGGCCCAGACUCCUACGGGAGGCAGCAGUGGGGAAUCUUGGACAAUGGGCGCAAGCCUGAUCCAGCCAUGCCGCGUGAGUGACGAAGGCCUUAGGGUUGUAAAGCUCUUUUGCCGGGGACGAUAAUGACGGUACCCGGAGAAUAAGUCCCGGCUAACUUCGUGCCAGCAGCCGCGGUAAUAC
rnacentral:rRNA from 1 species